UGGGGUCUUGAAAAUAAUUCCAUGCAUGUGU
rnacentral:piRNA from 1 species